rnacentral:rRNA from 1 species
UAGGGAAUCUUCGGCAAUGGACGAAAGUCUGACCGAGCAACGCCGCGUGAGUGAAGAAGGUUUUCGGAUCGUAAAACUCUGUUGUUAGAGAAGAACAAGGACGUUAGUAACUGAACGUCCCCUGACGGUAUCUAACCAGAAAGCCACGGCUAACUACGUGCCAGCAGCCGCGGUAAUACGUAGGUGGCAAGCGUUGUCCGGAUUUAUUGGGCGUAAAGCGAGCGCAGGCGGUUUCUUAAGUCUGAUGUGAAAGCCCCCGGCUCAACCGGGGAGGGUGAUUGGAAACUGGGAGACUUGAGUGGAGAAGAGGAGAGUGGAAUUCCAUGUGUAGCGGUGAAAUGCGUAGAUAUAUGGAGGAACACCAGUGGCGAAGGCGGCUCUCUGGUCUGUAACUGACGCUGAGGCUCGAAAGCGUGGGGAGCAAACAGG